AAAACCCUUGGAACAACAGGGAGGAGCAGCAGGAGAUAACUGGAGAAACCCAAACUUCGGGUCACUAAGACCUGCAGGUUCCUAGCCCCAUAUAUAUUUCCUGAGUGGAAGGGUGUUGGAAAAAGAAGGCUGAUUUCCUUACUUCAUCUCCUGGGCAAGAUCCGAUUCGCCGACCACGGCCGCCAGCUCUUCAAUGUCUCCGCUGAUGUCUGAAACGUAUUCCUGAAUGUUCCUCAUUAAUUGCUCCAACUUGGAAACCGGUUCAGCACUGAGGUCAGAAUCGCAGGAGCCUGGAGGACGAAAAGAAAUUUGAGCUUCCAGGAGGCUUCGGCCUACUCUUUGAGGUUAAAAAAGACUGGAAACAGGGAAGAGCAGAAAAUGGGACUGCCCGAGGCACUGCAUCCGACUGAGGCAUGAUAGAAGGAGUGGGAAGAUGCAUCAGAUAAAGCAGAGGAGGGCGGGUAGUUGUAGAGUUCUCCCAUUCCAGAGGUUUUCCAGGAGCUGUUCCUCAGGGAUCCCCUUGCUGUGGACUUUUU